rnacentral:rRNA from 1 species
CACGUAGGGCGCGAGCGUUGUCCGGAAUUAUUGGGCGUAAAGAGCUCGUAGGCGGCCAGUUGCGUCUGCUGUGAAAUCCCGGGGCUCAACCCCGGGCGUGCAGUGGAUACGGGCUGGCUAGAGGCAGGCAGGGGAGAACGGAAUUCCCGGUGUAGCGGUGAAAUGCGCAGAUAUCGGGAGGAACACCGGUGGCGAAGGCGGUUCUCUGGGCCUGUACUGACGCUGAGGAGCGAAAGCGUGGGGAGCGAACAGG